UUAACGCUAGCGGCAGGCAUAAUACAUGCAAGUUGAACGGCAGCACAGGUAGCAAUACUGGGUGGCGAGUGGCGCACGGGUGCGUAACACGUAUGCAACCUACCCUAUACAGGCGAAUAACCUUUAGAAAUGAGGGCUAAUACGCCGUAGUAUUACAGAUGGGCAUCUAUUUGUAAUUAAAGAUUUAUCGGUAUAGGAUGGGCAUGCGUCCCAUUAGUUAGUUGGUAAGGUAACGGCUUACCAAGACGAUGAUGGGUAGGGGAUCUGAGAGGACUUACCCCCACACUGGUACUGAGACACGGACCAGACUCCUACGGGAGGCAGCAGUAAGGAAUAGUGGGCAAUGGCCGCGAGGCUGACCCAGCCAUGCCGCGUGCAGGAAGACGGCCUUAUGGGUUGUAAACUGCUUUUAUACGGGAAUAAUAGAGUGUACGCGUACAUUUAUGCAAGUAUCGUAUGAAUAAGCAUCGGCUAACUCCGUG
rnacentral:rRNA from 1 species